ensembl:lncRNA
GCAAUUGGCAGACGGAAGAGUUGGAGGUUGGCGUCUGUCUGCUGUCGGCUCUGAGGGCAGUGUUCGGGCCACAUCUGGUUCAUGCCGUCUCCGGGCCUCCUGGUAGCACUAGUCCUGUUUGCCCUGUCCUCCCCAGCAGCGGUGCUCGUCGGCCUAUUUGUUUUAAUCAGCACCAUGUUUGCCAAUGAGCUUACCUAAGGAGAUGGAAGUCCUUGUGUGUUCUCCUGCGAUGCAGAGAGGAUGAGGCCAAGUGGGGGGCGGAUGAGUAAGGGCAGAACUGUGUGCCUUUAAUAAAGAUUUUCUUCUGUAUUUUCGAGAUUUUGGCCCUUUGAUUUCAGGUUAGAUGUGCGUUAAAGGGGAUCUUUCAGGGAAGGUUAAUCAAUAGCAAUGAUUCAACAAUUACUCAGCUUGGGGGUGAACUGCCUGACUUUUCAACUGUGUACACUCCACAUGCAAGGCUCUACCCGUAUCUUCAGUCAGGAGGGUAGUGCUAUAAAUGAGGAAUUAGAAAAUAAGAACGGAACGGAGCCUAAAACAACAUCAGUUUUCAUUAUCUGUAUGAUCUGUGUCAGAGACAUGUCAAAGUUAGUUGAUUUGAUUUUUGAACGAUCAAACAAUCGCAAAGGAUCACAAACGAUCAACCUUCUGUUAUGAAUUGUAGUUAGUAGAAGUAACUCUAAACUCAAAAGUUAGUUAUAAGCACUGUCGGGUAUUGAUGUCAGAAAUGUUCCAUACAAAAUCCUUGUAAGGUGGCCAAUUGCUAGCCACCACAGAAUCACUCUUCUCUUUGAUUACUGUCCUUUUAUGUCCACUUUUGGCAUUCACAUGCUCCACACACCUCUCCUCCCUCUUUUAAUUUGUUCUCCAUUCGUGCAUAGGCCGCCAGUCCGCAUUUAGCACGUCCUCUCCCAUCUGCACAUACCAUCUUUGGAAUCACACACUUCUGUCGGGCUGCUUCUCAAUGGCACCAACACAGCCCACUGCCCUUGCAACACCCUCUUUUGUCAGCAGCACAAAGUUGAUCUAUUUACCAACCAUCCAACUCUUUUUCAAACAACUCAAGCUAAAGGAAGGGGGGAUGCAGAGGUGUCAACCAGCCAAUCAAACAAUCAGUCAGCCAGCCUGCCAUCCAAACAAGGCUUCUUCCCUUCACUCGGCUAUAAAGCCUAUCUGCAGCAUUCGAUGCAGUAUCCAAUUCAAUCCCUUCCCUCAACCUUCCAGAAAGCUUUUAGCCACAUUUUAGCACACAAAAGCUGCUGCUCUGGCCUUUGUAGCCAGAGCUCCUAUUUAAGAAGGUGAGGGUGAGUAUGCAGGGAAAAGAAAUCAAUAAAGUUUCCUUGCUCUCAAUCUUCUUGGCCCACAGUAGAGGUGUUUUUAGGUUGAGAGGGGGAGGGAGGGGAGUGGAUGGAGCUAGGCUGUUUUUGUCAUUCAUAAGCUUUGCUGACAAAUCCUUGACAUCAUUUGGCGGAUUGUAUCGAUAACUCCUGCCCAGGACUGCAGAGGACAAAUCAAAAUCAUUUGUCUGGCUUUGUUGGGGUGGUGGUGGUGUGGGGGUUGGGAUCGUGGGGUUGCCGUGGGCAGUGGGGAGAGGAUGACGUCCGCGACGAAGCCAGUGCCGCGAUACACGGCCGUGACAUUGGCAGCUGAAGGCAUUUGUACUGCAGAGAAGUUGAAAGGUCACUGGAAAACAUUUGGGCUUUGCACUUCUAGCAAUUCUUAAUGUUGGCAGACAGGACAGCUGCUGUUCUUCACAGAUGAUCUUCCAAUACUGAUGAAGAUCAGUUUUCUUUUUACAGAUCUACUUUACACUGUGACAUUGAUCCCAAAAAUCAACAACAUUUGGAAGUAAAUCAGAAAUAAUUGGUAUAUUUUGUGUUACACUGACUGGUAUAUGUUUUAAUCCUAAAAUAAAUAGAAAUAUGCAAUGACACUCACACACCCCCAAAACACAUUUAUCCCUCAUAAAUAUGCCCACUCAUACAGAUCUAUAGUCAUGUAUUCUUAGUGGGGCAUGUUCCAGAGGAGAGGAGAGAACUUGCUUUUCCUGCCUGUUUUGACAGUUGUGAGCUUCGGCAUCAAAUGGCAAAUCUCUUAAUCUGCCCUUCUUAAUAAGAAAAACAUGAGACUGUCUGAUAUUUUCAUCUGCAUCAACUGAAGGAAAUUGCAAAAUACUACGAGGUGUUGGUAUUAUGUGUGUAUUUCAAAUGUGAAAAUACAAAUGCUACUUUGGUGACAACCAGAUCUAAAUUGGUGUGACCCUUGGUGUUAGGCUUAAAAGUGUUGGUGGGGCCUUUCUGAAUUAGAAGCAGGAAUAAGACAGAGCUAAUGACGGUGCAUAUCUGUGUUUUUUUUCUAUUUGAGUGUCUGACUGACUGAUGAUAGCAGAAUAAUUGAAUUAGCUUAAGCCAUGUUUGGGAGCUGCAAAGUAUCUAACAUUUAGGUCUGAAAGGUCUGUCCGGACAAUGCCCCACCAACCUCCAUCUCUAGACCUGUUUUUUGGGGGGUUGGUCCUCCUUAUAAAUACCAACAUGUUUUUAGAGGAACCCAGGUCAGACAUCAUAGGAUAAGGUUUUGCCCUAAACCUUAAGCCUGCAAUAUCAUGUCUGCUUUGGUGUCUUCAAACCCAGACAAUAGAUAAAUUACCAAAAUAACAUCCCAUCCACCCCUCCUACACUUCUUAACAAUGGGUCUUGUGUGUGUCUGAUUCUAAAUUCAAGUUCUCAAUUUUCUGCCAUGUUAUUGGGUGACCUGGAAUCAGGUAUUAAAACAGCUCAAAUCAGAGAGGAGAGUCAGGCUGGGGGGUUGUCAGGGAUGAGAGAGAAAUUAGAGAAAUUCUAAUUCUAAAGAAAUCGUGAAAUUCUAACAGCAACACUCCAGUUGCACAGUCAAGUCCUUUCUUUCUCUUUUCUUCUCCCUCUCACCUCCAGACGCCGAACAGUGCUGAGCACUUCCAUUCC